UACGUAGGGCGCAAGCGUUGUCCGGAAUUAUUGGGCGUAAAGAGCUCGUAGGCGGUUUGUCGCGUCUGUCGUGAAAGCUUGGGGCUUAACCCCAAGUCCGCGGUGGAUACGGGCAGACUAGAGGCAGGUAGGGGAGAACGGAAUUCCCGGUGUAGCGGUGAAAUGCGCAGAUAUCGGGAGGAACACCGGUGGCGAAGGCGGUUCUCUGGGCCUGUACUGACGCUGAGGAGCGAAAGCGUGGGGAGCAAACAGG
rnacentral:rRNA from 1 species